rnacentral:rRNA from 1 species
AUGCUCACCGGGCUGGCCGUGCACGGGCAGGCACACGAGGCAGCGACGUUGUUCCACGACAUGUGGAGGUCGGGGCUGAAGCCGGACGGCAUAACCUUCACGGCGGUGCUCACCGCAUGCCGAUCCAUGGGCCUGGUCACCGAAGCCUGGGAGUACUUCGACAACAUGGAGGCCAAGUACGGCGUGGCGCCGACGGCCGAGCACCACGCCUGCAUGGUCGACCUGCUGGCUUGGCGCCGGUACCUCGACGAGGCGAUGGCCUUCAUCCAGCGGUCGCCGGCCGACCCCGGAGCAAGCUCCUGGGGCGCGCUCCCGCUCCUCACCGGCUGCGCCAUCUACGGCAACCUGGACCUCGCGGAGUCCGCGGCGAGGCACCUCUUCAAGCUCGAGCCGCACAACUCGGCCAACUACCUGGCGAUGAUGAGCCUGUACGAGCAGCACCAGAUGUUCGACGAGGCGGAGAGCCUCAAGUACGCCAUGGAGGCGAGAGGGGUGGACGCCAGGCCGGGGUGGAGCUGGACGCAGGUCGGGCGGAGCGUCCACGUCUUCGAGGUCGACGGCGGGUCGCCGCCGUACCCGGAGACGCCGGAGAUAUACGGCGAGAUGAGCCGGCUGGUGUCGCAGAUCAGGAUGGUGGGGUACGUGCCGGACACCGGCUGCGUCGCCUACGACGUCCCCGAGGAGGAAAAGGAGCGGCUGCUGCUCUGCCACACCGAGAACCUAGGAUCCUCGAAUUCAUUAGUGCUAAGUUCAGGGGGG